rnacentral:rRNA from 1 species
AGCUUCAGUAGCGUAAGUUAACGUUGCUGCGGUUAAAAAGCUCGUAGUUGGACCUUGGGUGCGGACGGGCGAUUCACCCUUCUGGGAACUAGCGGUUGAGAGUUCACUCGAUGCCAAUAGACCCGUUGGCUGAUAUCAACGCCCGAUUCAUCCGUCACUGAAUGAAAGAUUUGUCGGUUUAUGCGCGUGUUGGGGUGUCUUCACGGGCGUUCUGGCUCGCGUGUCCGACAAUGUCACUUUGCAAAAAUGAGAGCGCUUAAAGCAGGCUUGAUGCCAUGAAUAUUGAUGCAUAGUACGAGAGAAAAGGACUUUGUCUCUGUUUGGUGCACAGAAAGACAAAGUAAUGAUUAAGAGAGACAGACGGGGACGUUCGUACUGCGGCGUUAGAGGUGAAAUUCUUGGAUCGCUGCAAGACGAACAAUCGCGAAGGCAUUCGUCCAGAACGCUUUUC